GAAAGACCUGGCUGUGAUAUCUGUUAGCUGUCGAUUGCUAGUGUCAGGUCAGCUGAUCUGACUGGGUAGAGGGGUGUUCCCUUCCUCACUCAUUCUAUGUGCAAGUCUCCUGAAGCUGCGUGCUGGGUUCAAGUGGAAAGUCUUCACAGAUAGCAGAGGGCCUUCUUUAGUUAGGGGUAUUAUAUGAUACAUACUUGUAUUCUCCUGCUAGACAUCGAAAGGGGCUGUCAAAAUCAAAAGCUUUUUACUCAUUAAAAUAUAGUAACAUACGAAGAUAAAUUCAGGAAGGAAAAAAUACAUGUUGUUU
rnacentral:snRNA from 1 species